CUAUAUACAGAUUUGUACAUAGAUUUCUUUUUAACAAGGAGUAUAAGUUGUAGUAUGUAAGGGAGGUUAUCAUUAGUUUCAUAUUGAUUGUGAAUCAAGAGAGACUAUGACUUAUAUAUGAAUGGACCAUUCAUCCUACAUAAAGUAUCUUUUGAAGAAUAAAAUCAUAAAAAUUAUGAAGUAAAAUAAAUAAUAAUUUAUAUAUCAACUCAUAAAUCUUUGGCUGCAACGGUUUACAUGGCAAAUUGGUUACUGAGCUUGUCUCCAG
rnacentral:lncRNA from 1 species